ensembl:lncRNA
UCCACGCCAGAAUAGUGGAGUGGGUAGCCUUUCCCUUCUCCAGGGGAUCUUCCCAAUCCUGGGAUCGAACCCAGGUCUCCCAUAUUGUAGAUGUAUUUUGAAGUAAGGAGAGAAUCUUCAUUUGAAAUGAUUGGGCUAGGAUUAAGUGAACAGGAAAUACAGCUUGCUAUGUUGAUCUAUUUCUAGCUAGACAGGACAAAGUAGACUGUUUUUUGCUGAGGGGUAAGAUCCUGUGUUAGUUUUAUCUCCAAGAAAAACAAAUAGAGAAGGAAUAAUUAUGAGAAUAACAAAAUAUCACAUUGCAUGCUAUAUAUCAUAAAAAGCACCCAACGCCAAGAGUCAACUCACCGGAAGAAGAUGUUGAUUCUGGGAAAGAUUGAAGGCUAAAGGAGAAGAGGGCGGCAGAGGAUGAGAUGUACCUGAAGAGUGGCCUCAGAUGGAGACUCAAAGAACCAGACACUGCAGGAAUGCCAAGAAUGACCUGGGGAACCACAGUUUGGGUAUUUACUUGGAUUCCAGUACCCACUCACUGAAUGACUUAAAAACAUGCCAUUUCCCUUAUGACUGUCCAUUUGUUAUUAAGCAAUAUUUAAGAAAUAAUAAUGUGUAUUGUUAUGGGAAAAUUAUGCCCCUGUCAGAACAUAAUUUCUCUGAUAGCAUGUACAUUAGAAGUCAGUAAAUCUUUGCUGAAUGAAAGCAAAUAUGAGAUAAAAGAAUUCUGGGAAAAUCUGGUCUGGUUGUAAUAUUAUGUUUUGAAAUGACAGAUAGGAACUACUAUUCCAGGAGACAAUGUACUUAGUC